AUAGUUUAAUAUACUUUUAUAAAUUGGUUAAGUAAGUAAAAUUUUUUUUUAGACAAUAGGUUAAUAAUAGGAAGAAAUGAGAAAUUGUUAAUUUGGCAGUAUUACGAAUUAGUCUGAGUACUUUAUGACUUUUUAAUCUCAAAAAUGUUAUGCCUUUGGAACAUUAGAAUUUCUUGCUACAGCAUAUAAUAUUAACGAGAUAGAAAGCGGUUCAGUAUUUUGCCAUUUGGAAAACAAGCGUGGUUAGUAAGAGUGUGCUUGGGUUCAUGACAGAUUCACGAAUUAUCGUAAGUGUAAAAGAGAUAGGUAGACUCUUUGUCCCAUUGAAACGACCCAGAAACCCGAUUCUUUUCCCCUUUCCCAAUCUACAAAAGCAUGCGUGCGUACGUCCGCUCGUCCGGACUCGUUGGUGGUAGCCGAUAUCAGCAUCGCAGCAGGGAAAGUUAACUGGUCGAAGCGGUGAGGAGAAAGUGAAAGCUAUUUCCGGGAUAUAGUAAGCAACAGCAGACUCAAAACGACGCGAAGGUGGACUGAUAUUAACGAUCAUCCGAUUACAGCGAUUAACGCGUUCGCCUAUAACUUUCCUUGCUUUCAGCUCCAAUGGAGUUGAUGGAAAAUACAUUGGUGUAUAGGAUUUAUAAUACCAACUGUUGAAAGCAAGGGCGAAAAUGAAUGAUAAAUGAUAGUAAAGUAUAAUACCAAUUGGUGAUUAACAUGAUUAAUUAUAUUGCCUUAUAUUCGAGAUAUUGAUUAUCUGCUUAGAUUUUAUUGAGACAUAAUGGUCCGAUUAUAGCAGGAAAUGAAGAAAUAUUAGUAUUAUUUACAUUCUAUUAUUAUCAGUAUAUUAUCUUUUUAACAUACUUUUUGAAUUCUAAUUUUUUGAAACGGAUUUUUAAUAGAUUUAACAAGUUAUAUUAAUUUUACAAGUUAUAUUAACGAAAAAAAUUUUUGAUGAGUAAAAAUUAAUAGAUUUUAUUAAAUUCACGUUUUCUUUAACAGUCCGUAAAAUCUAUGUUUGUAAUCUUGGUUAUAAUAAUGCGAACCGUUCGCAAUUAUUGCUAAUUAUGGAUGCUAUUCGGUAGACCCAAUAACAAUAAUUGUAAAUGCAUAAAAACCUGUGAAUGACGUGUGCAAAGUGACACGCGAGGGUCACUCAAAAUAGCCUUGUAAAAGCAGAAAUAUUGUAUGGUAUUUGUCAACGUAUAGAUUGUCAUGCGAAAUCAUGUCAAUUUCUGACAGCUAUUGGAUUUGACCUUACUUUUCAAUUUUAAAGAUGAUGUAAUUUCACGGUAGUUUAAAAGGGGUUUUUUUUUUUUUUUUUUUUUUUUUGAAAUAUUUCUUCCUUUUGUAUAUGUUCAAUACGUUUAUUACCCGUGAAUCAAUUGAUUCAAGGAUUCAAGGAUCGAUUUUGUUUUAAUUUGCAAAAAAGUAUUAAACGUAACAAACGAUUAAUAAUUUCUGUACAAAGCUUUAUACUGUAGUAGUUGUCUAUUUAUUUUUAUCACGCGGUAUCAUAUACGUAGGCCACUCCUUUGCAAAGAAUUUCUCUCGCACAGACAAACAUAAAAGCAACGACGUUCAUGGCAGCGUUCACUUUCCCAUUUGGCAGAACAAAUUGUGUCGUCGGAAACCGGGUCGAUGGCAAUAUCGCAGAGAAAGUGAGAGUACAAUCAAGCGCCAUUCGAUCAUGAUGCAGCUGUUAUUUAAAUAAUCGUAUUCGCGCCGCGAUCUCUCGAUGUCUCAGCAUAUCGAAGUGAAAGGUGCUAAACGAAGAAGCCUCACCGAGAUCAAAAACGACGGCAAACCUUCCGAGAUCUCUACCUUUUAAUGCGGAACUCGUUAUUCUAACUUCAAUCGCGAAUUUUAUAAUGCUACUUAUUUUGCAGUAAUAUAAGUGAUUCAAACGUAACGUGUAUGUAUUCUGAUAUUCUUUCUUCUAGAUAAAUUAGUUUAGUAAAAACGCGUAAUAUGAAGUAUUAAAUUGUAAGUAAAAAAAAUUAAAUAGUGUUUAACUUUUAUCUGUGAAUUUUUUUUUUUACUUAAAUGAGAAAUUAACUUAAGAUUUAUAGGUCUUUUUAUGUAAAGUGUGUACGCGUGAGGCGAAAGCGAUAUAUUUCAAUAGUGUUCCUGAAAAGCUUUCUCAUAUAUAUAUAUCUGACUUUCGAUACGCCCGCGUUUCUCGAGCCUUUCUGACCGCGGAGAAAGAGCGCAAGAUACGAUACUCCGUUACCAUUGCGAACCGCGUGACCUGUUCACCCACUUUGAAGUUGGUUUACGUGCCAUUGUUUGCGCGUACGUAUACACAAUCAAGUAGCUCGGCAUACCUGUGUGGCGCGCAAAUUAUUCAGUCAGAUGGCACAACUUAGCAAUCUAGAUACUCGUAGCAAGUUUAUAAUACAUCAUCAUUCAAUGCUUUCACAUCGUCAAAUAAUUAUAUUAAAAUUGAUUUUUAAAAACCGGUAAAAAUUACAUGUGGGAAUGAAAUGCUGUAUCUAUUCUAAAUUUUUGAACAAUGUUCCGCCUUAAUGAGCCUAUAUAUUAUAUCAGUGACUUUUGAAAUGCCAGUGUGAAAUUAGGACGAAGGCAAUACGUGUCCAGCAUAGACGGUAUUCGCUCAUUUGUAUCGAUGAAGGUUCCAUAUAACUUUUGUUGUUUCAACACAAAGCCCGAGCCGCUCCGUUACACAAGGAAAGGGGUACGCCUGUCUGUCCGAUUUAGCCUUUACGCACAAUGGUUGGCCUCGGUAAUUCAUUAAAACAAUAAUCGCAGUUAGAUGAACAAGUUUAAACAUAAUAAUUAUUCUAUUAGUACAUCCAGUCGUCGAUAAGCCUAUUGAUUCCGCAUAAUUAAACGCGAUUACAUCGUUACAUGAAUACUCGUAACGAACCUCGCGCUUAUUAAAUCUUGCGUGUCCGAUAGUCGCGAGCGGCGGCGCUUUAUAGAAACCGGAGGUUUGGUGGCCGGAAGCGUUCGAUUCGCGGAUAAAUAAAGAACGUCUUCGACAAAGAUUGCUCCCCGGGUUUCUCUUUCAAGCCACUCUCCCCGAAGGACGAGCGUCGACCGAUUAAGACGCAGCAAUUAUUGGCUCGAGACCAGUUCCCGCUAUUCCAGUUCCACGCGGCGCGGGUCUUACGUAAUCGCCAUUGUGAGAUCGUAUAAAUAAUCUCGCGGAUCCGUUAUACCGUUGCAGGCGUGAAUGAGAGAGACGCGAUUACCUCCCCGCCGGCUACUUUCAUGUAACCGCGUUUUUCAAAUCGGACGCGCGGCAUUCUCCUGCGUGUGUCUUUGCGAUCGCUAUCUGCAAUACACGCAAUACAUAUUGUUCCGUCGAUUGCCAUGAGGGGUUCUCUAAAAAAAAAAAAAAAUUCGAAUUUGGAAAAUCUUAAGAGUCGCGUAUACAAAAAAUGUUAAGAUUGAGAACCUUAGGGUAUGUAAAAUACUUCGAAAUGUGGAUUCCAAUCGGAAUUAUUCCGUUUUUCCUAGAAAACACAAUAGAAAUCUAGGAAAUAAUUCCAAACGGAUCUAUAAUACGGAUCUAGUUGAUUUCUCUAUUAUCUUUCUUCGCGAGACAUUAAUUCAAUAUACGUUUUUCAAAUCGUAAGUACCGUUAUCCUCUCACCAGUAUGAAAAAUGUCCUUCAUGUCGAAAGAUGCUGUCAUUCUUCUAAAAACAAUACUUAUUCUUUGGAGGUCGUUGCGGAUCCCCUCGCAGUAACAAGAUUUAACCGGAAUAUUUCUGCCCGUCGGUAUUUUUAUUCUGAUAACACAAUGUCGAAGGAGAAGGAAUACACGUGUCGUUCUACAGCGUGUCAAUUAAUGCAAGAGGUGCGAAACUGAACGGAUCAAAUGAAUUCAAUGAUUUUGACGUAAACAAACGGUACGCGUUUUUUCCCUCUCACGAUUAGCAUACGCGGAGAAGAAAGGGAUACGUUUGUACGUGCACUCGUGUUUGUUUUGUGGGACAAGUAAGUUUCACUCGUGCAACAAUGCCUAUUCAUCAAGAAUGUUUCGAUAAUACUUAUCUCCAUUUACAUCUUGAAGAAUGGCAUGCGAUAUAGAUUGUCGCGAUCGAUAUUCCGGAAUUGUGCAUUACAUGCGAUCGAUAUCACACUGACAGAGAAGGCGACCGUUUAUUACGUUAGGAUCGUGCUUAAGCAAUCUACAUUAUUGCAUAAUUGAUCGGCGGGGAACGAAAUCUUAGUCCCGAAAUUGGCAUUUUCCGAUUAACACAAUAAUAUAAAAUUUAUGAAACGAAUUAUAAUUUAUUAAGCUGAAGACCUCAUCCGUUUUAAUUCGUUGUAACUUAUCCUUAAAGGAUGUCACGUACGGGCGGGCGGAAGCGUCGGUAAGAAUGAGAUAGCUCCUCGCCGCAAUAUCCUGCGUCGCGUUUCAAGAUCGGCAAUGAUUUCGUGAUUGCGAUGCACCCACGGUUGUGGGAACAACGAUCAUAAAAACCGCAAUUUCCUCGUACAGCUCGCCGAUUUGAGAAUGUGUUUACUUUCCUUCCGCACAUACCGUCUAAAUGUGCUCAUUUAACUUUUUUAAUGAUAAAUGAAUUUACGAGAAGUAAUAUAUUUCUAUUGUGUUUGUGCUUCGAGAAGCAAUUUUUUAAUAUAGAAUUCAUCACGUUUGUUUAUGGUUAUUUUGUAAUAAUUGUUAAACUUGUCGUAUGUGUGUGUGUGUGUGUGUGUGUGUGUGUGUGUGUGUGUGUGUGUGUGUGUGUGUGUGUGUGUGCAAUUUGAUAAAAGAAUAUUUUACUCAUGCUUGUGCGUCUUUGCUCAAAUAAGAAGAGCGAACAGUUCUUUUGACCUUGCGACGGAGUUUAGCGUCGGGAGUUAAAGCGCGAUAGCAGUACCGUAAUCUCGACCAAUCAGCGAACAAACAGACGCGGCGGGAAUAAAGGUGAGUCUAAUUGGUACAAUUUAUAUUUAAACGAGAGGUCCGUGGCCUUGACUGUUCUUCAUAUGUCGACAAAAUUGAUAACCAUUUGUACAAGUCGGAAUUGUUACAAAAGAAUACACCUGUUAAUUAGCUUGUAUUAGAAGAAAAACACGUACGAAACUCAAACGCAGAUGUCAGAUUAUAGUCGUGUGCAAAAUUUAACAAGACGUUUAUUAAAUCUUUAUUUAAUUAAAAUUAUUCUUAGUCUAAAUAAUAUAGCCCGUCAAUAUAACUUAUUAAAUGUGAAAAAUUAUAGGGGAGAAUUAAAAAUUUGAUUAAAGUCUGUAACUUUAGCAGUAAACUUAGAGUUCGUGAAUUCAUUUGUUAAAGUUACAGGGGCAAAUUAAAAAAUUUUACGGAGAAUGACUCUCUGUGUUAAAGUUUUAAAAACUCUUUAACCGAAAAGUUUGAAACUUCUGUAGAAGCUAAUCUUAAAAUAUCGAAAUGCCAACUCGAAGCAUUCGAUAUGCUGCUCGUCACGUGAUUGUUAACUGAAACGUUCCGAUAAAACACAGGGCAACGUUUUAUUCGGUUCCUAUCAAUAGGAUAUCGUCCUCCGGGGAAGGUCGUGACUGGACUUUAGUCGCUGAACCGCGAGAGGGGGCAAUAUUGACAGUAGGGAUACGGUGGUAACGCUUUAAAUUGAUCACGCACACAAAUGAACGUAUUACAGGAGAAUUGCGCUUAAUAUUUUACGAACUAAUGGUGAGAAUUGCAAUUAAAAUAGAAUUCCAUGUAUCAUUUCGUCGCUUGCUAAAACCAGCCGGGUGGAAAUGAACCUACAAAGUGUAACUGUCUCCUUGCUUUGUAAUUUAUGAUUAAUCGAUGAAAGUUUUGCGUUAUUGCGUUAUUCCCGUAUUCAGUCUCGGUCACGUGUGCGUCUAUGUUGGAACGCGGUUGUGCCCGAUGAUGGUGUACGUGUAUGCCGUUAAAAGAACGACCGCGAAGGACAUCUUUCUGAUGAGACGAGUGUGCGUAGGACAUCGUGUCGCGCGCAUUGCUCCAACAACAACGGCUAUUUUCAAGUAAUCGACGUAUCGUCGAAGGUCGAGGAGUUUAACCUUCAACGAGCCGCGCCGUUAACCCGUGAAUGUUCGCUAUAUAAAUGCCGCACACUCAGACCAGAAAGUAUUUUCUCCUUCCGCACUGAUUAUGCAAAUUAUCCCUUUUGCAACUUUUUAUUUUUCAUAUAUCUAAUCGUCAAUGGCAGGCAAAAAUUUAUUAUGUAUUUUAUUAUGUAUAUUCUCACCGAGAAAGCGUCGUCGGAGCAGCUUUUUUUAACAAAAUAUACUCGUAUGUCGAACGGCGACCGACAUUGUAUAUGUAUAAUCGCGAACAGAUUGACGCGCGCGUGCGCGUUUGUGUCAAGAUGCACCUGUCAUUCAAGGUGAUUCUUUAUCAUACGAAAGAAAGAGAGAGAGAGAGAGAGAGAGGGGGGUUUACUUUUCAGAAAUUAGAUGUCCGUAUGUGGUCUUUGGUUCUGCAAAUUGCACACUCGUCGCGUUUGUUUGAAAAGAGUUCAUGAAAUUGUAUUUUUCAUAUUUUUUCUCUUAUUUUUAUAUUUAUUUAAUUUUAGUUUUCAUAGCUUUAAUGCUGAUAAAAAGUUUGCGAAAUAUUUGCGGGGCCGUUAAAAAGAGAAAAUUUUCCGACAGUACAAUAGUAUCGUUCGUUCUAGCAUUGACACAUGAGUUUUACUACAAUGAUUUACAGGACUUUUUCAAUUAACAUAUAUCUCUUUCGAUUGCACAUGCAAAGUGAUAAAGUGGUCACGUGUUCUGCGUCCUUGAACUUGGCCUCGUGUUUUCCUUCAUUCCCGCAUCCCUUCUCCUCUAUGCUCGCUUCUUUGCAUUCAGUCAGUUUAUUUGUGCCACACGACUGAUAAGGCCCGAUUGUCACCGGUGCGCAUUUUCUCCGUCGCUUUUCCUGGUAUGGUUCACGGUCGCAGUCGAAUCACGUGUCGAUGUGACGCACAUCACUAUCUUAGAGUGUUAAAAUUUAACAUUAUAUAUUCUUAAUAAGAAAAGAUUUAUAUAAAGAAAUACGUUUAUGUUAAUAAAGUAAUUAACGUGAAGUAAGCUUACUGUUUGAAAAAAUAUAUGUACAGCAUAAGGUUCAAUAUUGAUUAAAAUUACCUAUAAAAAAUUAAAUUAAUCAUAACGUUACUAGUUAUAUAUUAGGUACAGUAAUUAUUGAAAUAAGAUAAUCAAUAUUUACUGAUCUUUAUAAACGCUUGUUUGCCUAAAUUUUUGGCACAUCAUAAUUCUUGAUAUACAAAUAUUGAUUUGCAGAUUUUAUUUUCACACGAGGCACGAUAUUGUGCUAUGGGUAUCAUUAUUUUCGGUAAUUGGUGGGCGAAAGGACAACUACUUUUACGAAUAAAUUACGACGUAACUUGACCCUGACAAAACAAGGUCUUCUAAUUAUUCAUAGAGUUAAAGGAGAUAUUUCAUUUAUGAUAUAUGUAUUUUUUUAAUUAAUGUAAAUAUAGAAUAUUAAAGCAAUUGUUUACAAUUACUGCGUGAAAUGUCAUUAAAAAAUCGAAAAUGAGAAAUUUACAAUUUUAUUAUUAUUACAAAAUAUUACGUUUAUGUUGACAACACUAUAAGUAAGGCGGGGCAGAAAAAUUACAUAGUUUACAUUAGCUACAACCGUUAUAAAACUUCGUAUGACGAGUGUCGAGUGUCGCGUCGAGAAGCCAUACUGAAGCUUUUGAAUGGAUAGACACUCCCACAGGGCGAAUUUACUCGGCCUUGGCCUCCGACCCGCCUCACUGCCAUGCUGGUGGUACUAGAUGUCGUCGUAACACACAGUCUCUCAGGAAAAGUGCUUUUACGAGGAAAAACAUACGCGAAAAAGAGGAAAGAACUCCCACACACUGUUCUUUAAUUAGUCCGUCAGUGGAAAUGUAUUUUGAUGGGAAUAAAAAAUAUAAUAUCAUUUUAUUAGAAAAAGUAUUUACAAUAAAUAAUAUUGCAGUAUUAAUCAUUUGCAUUUUUACACGAUAUACGUGAAUCAGCGAAAAGGAAAAUUACAUCCUUUGUAGUUAAUGAAUGAUCCUCUCUUUUAUGUUAAUGACUUUCGGAUUCCAAUCUUGAUGUUCAAUGCGAAGCCUCUGCGUUCAUAAAAUGAUAAUAGUCAGGCGAAAAUAUUUCGUCCUUGACAAGGAACGAGAGAGAAGAUACUGUAGGCACGUGCGCGCUCUUGGGGAAUUUGGAGGUCACUAGCUGUGAAAAUGACCCCACCCUCUGAUACACAUUCACGUUAUCUUUGCUCUCCCUACUCGUAUACCAUUAAGGACCUCGCCACCCUCUCAGAAAACUUUAGUCUUCAAGUCAAGGCCGAUUUCUGACUGGUUUCAUUCUCAUCUUUUCUUUUUCGUCUUAUCUUUAUAUUAUACAAGCGCGAUCAUUCAAGAUGUCGGAUGUUAAAACAAAUUGCACAUGUUUACAGUUAGACUUGUAUAAUCUUAUUAGGGUAUCUCGUACUUUGAAAAUUUUACUGGGAAAUUAAGGAAGGAACGAUAAAUACAUGACGUUGUUUUUCGCUCUUAAAGGUGCUAGAACACAUCUUCGUGCUAGAAGAGACGAGAACGCACGAGAUGGAACGAGGGAUGAGAGUAUUCGCUAUAACCUUUUACCUUUAACCUUCAACCCAUUUCCCGGUUGUGACUUGCGUUUCCAUCCACAAUGACACCCACUUUCAAUCUGGCUCUAGUUAACUGAGUUUCUCUGAAAGGUCAAAUCGCUGGCCCCACCCAGUAGAUGUUUCCGGAUACUCGGCGAUGCCAACUACUGGUUACAGUUUAAUCAACGAAACGUCAUUUUUCCCAUUUCAAAAAUUAUUUUGCAUCUCCCUUCUUUUUUUAGCUCUUUAUGAACCUUCUGAGAAACAGUUUUGCGAUUACUUGCAGCAUAUUUAUAUUUAUAACAAAUAUUUUUUACAUGCGGAUUGUUUUGAAUGAUUUAUUUAAUAAUGUUAUAAAGAUUUAUAGGCUGUUAGAUGAAACGAGUAUUUAACAACAUUUAAUUUGAAGUUGCUGAUAUAUUCAGUCAUAAUUCGUGAAGAUUUUUCUUUUGAAUGUUUCUGAGAAUAUGAGAUAAAAGAUGCUGAUUGCACAGUCAUCAUUUAAUCAGAUAGUGACACGCGUGUAACGGGUUAACCUGGCACGCGUAAAUAGCUGCCUGUUGCUAUGGAUAGGGUGGUGGGAUGCGAUGGUGGGUCGUUGCUAGCCGGGUUGUGCACCCCGGUGCAAGCUGUAUCGAUCGGACUUACCCGGUGCAACAACCCACGCAUACUGACCUCACGCGCCCUUGUAGGUCGCGGAAGAACCUUAAGAUUCUGUGCUCCGUUUGCGUGGCCCUGAAGUCAAACAAGAUCAGUCGCGUGGGUGCGUUUGUCCCGUUGGAGGGGCGUUGGAUGCUGAGGGGUUGUCCGAGGGGUGGGGCAGGAGACGGUCAACCAUGAAACGGACGAACCAACAGACAGGGAUGCACCGACCUUGGGGGGAUUUUUGUGUCUACCGCAGUGCGUUAACCCCGGGAGCUGGGAGCGAGUGUGGCGUGCAACGCGUUAAAGGAAUGAGGGCUCUUUCAGUUCUUUGUCUCCCUUUCCCUCCUUUCCUCGCAGACCGCGCCGCCCUUUUUCCUGUCCUACUCGUUCUUCGCCCAGCCAAGGUUCGGCCCAGCCAAGCUCGCGCCACGAGAGAAUCGGUUACCUCAACCCCUUCGUCUUUCGAAACUGCACACGAAAUCUGCCUUGGAUCAAUAAAGAUGAUAUUUAUAAUUCAUUUAUGUCUUAACGUUUCUUUCUUCGAAAAUUUAUCAUUGAUUGCAUAACCGAAACCUAUAGUAUUACAGUUAACCAUUAUAAAUUCUACUGUAGCAGGAAUUGCUUAGGUUCUAUUUACAUUUAAUAAAUGAUGAUAAAAUUUAUUCCAUUUAAUAGUGCAAGUGAAAAUCUCUAUUGAAAUAUUAUACUCUAUUGAAAACUCUAUUGAAUUUUGACUUUUUAUUUGUUUUUUCCCUUUUAUAAUUGGAUGAAAUAACUCUUCUUUCUUUCUUUUAUAGUUGGAUAAAAUAAUCCAAUUGAAAUAAGUAAUAAUAUAUAGUUAUUGAAUACUUAUCUCAAUUGAUUAUUAUUAUUUUGUUCAAGAUUUUGAAAAAAAUUCGGUUUUGUUCACCCAAGCAAUCUCUUUCAUCGAUAAGACCUUGAUCUAUUCAUCGUUCUCUAUCGCGUGACGUCCAAUUAUGAAGUGAUUCGGUACUUCUGGGGGACGGGAGGAGCGAAGGGUAUACGCGCCAGUGAGUUUAUCUGUUCUACCCAACGAGCAAUUAAUUCAAUGACAAUGCACAUCGAGCUUCUCAUACGAAUUAAGCCCGACCUUUCGGUUCGGUGAGAAAAAAUCUCUCAAUUAAGCUUGCCAUAUUGCGGCAAUUGACACCGUGAUUUUUUUUUGUAUUAUAUAAAAUGAACAAACAUAUAUAUGACUAUAAUUUGAUAAAAUCAAAAAUUAUACUUACGACUGUGUAUUUAUUGUAUAAAAAAUAAAUUUUAUAAUAGAGGAUAAAUAAUGGAAAUUAAUAAGUUAAAUAAUGAUUUAAUUAAUGACUUAUUUAAUUAAUGACAUACAAAGAUCAUCGAUCUUCAAAUUGAUUCAUCUUUAUGCGUCUCGUUGUUCUCGAGCGCUUGAAGCACAAAGAAACUCCGGCCGUGUUGACUUGUUGAAGGAAAAAUAAAGAUGCGUGUGCGAGAAUGGGAUGGCAUGACGUCGAAGGGCGCGGUCGAGUUCACACUAGACUGAAGCUGCCCUUGUACCGGCCUUGAGACGGUCGACCUGCCCUACCCCGGCGAUCCGGCAUUCUCUCAUAGCACAUAUGAGAUUUCUCAUGCACACAAAGAUCAGCGUUUCCUAAAUUCACCGUUCGGUUUAGUCUUUGUGCGAAACUCUGCCGACGAAAUCUCGUGUUCGCGAGAACGCUAGUAAAUAAAAUUUACAUCUCAUUCCCCGAAUGGGCUUUGGUAGAAUUUUGAUUUGAGAAUUUUAAGAGGGGAUACGCACACCGAACAAAAAAAAA